rnacentral:misc_RNA from 1 species
GAAAUGCGAUAAGUAAUGUGAAUUGCAGAAUUUAGUGAAUCAUCGAAUCUUUGAACGCACAUUGCACCCAUUGGUAAUCCUUUGGGUAUACCUGUUCGAGCGCCGUUUGUGUCUAAGGCUCAGCCUUGCGUUGGAGGUGUCCCGGUAGGGACUCUCCGAAACACAUCGGCGCCCGUCUUGGCUUCGAACGCAACGAAAUGCGCAAAGGGUCUGGACGGGCGGCCAGUCUACGAAAGCAUGGCCUCGGAUCAGGUAGGGAUACCCGCUGAACUUAAGC